CAAGCUUAAAUAGAUACAUAGCCCUGUGAUUUCCAGUAUGCCGGGCAAUUGUUGGUUCCAUCUCAGCGCUAACUAGCUAGUUUUUGCCCACAAAAAGGCACCCCGAUCAAUAAACAAUGUUACCAAACUCCCGCCAUCUGGCCUGGUUGCUUACUAUCGUCCUCUUCUUUGUGAUCUGCUUCUGCUUCGGUCUCUCAAGCGGCAGACCCACCUUGCCGCCCCCCAAUCCAUAUCCCCAACCCUGUAAGUACUCCCUCCAUUUUAAAAUAUAUUUUUUUGCGGGAGUCCGUUUCAAAAUAUUUGAAGUUCUAGAUUUGUCCUAAGUCAAAUGUCUUUAGGAUAUUAGUAAAAAAAUUAUAAACUUGGUCAAACUUAAGAAAUUUUGACUUAGGACAAACCUAAAACUUCAAAUAUUUUGGAAUGGAAGGAUUAUCCAUGUUGUAUAAGAUUUUGACCAUGUAGUACAACUUUCUAAACCAACUUGCCGUAUAGGUGGUUCUCUGUCUAGUGACAGUACAAUUAUAUAUUACACAUUAUUCUGCUCUUCUUUUAUACAUUUUUGCUUGUUCGUCGCCUGAGAUUUCCAAAUUGCAACAGACAACCCGAAUCACCCUCCAGGGACACACAAUCCAUGCUGCCCAACAUGCUGCCGUUAGGAUUAUGAAGGGCACUGGUUCAACACCAUGGAGCCUGUGAAUGUGUCUAGUCCUCUGUGUACCUAUAAAUGGAGUGUAAUUCCUUGACAUCAACUUUUUACUUUUUGCAACUGCAAUCCAUUUUAUCGAGAUUAAACGUGAGUCUUUAAGAUGAUUAUUACUUUCAGAAAUUACAGAUUUGUAGAGUUCUCUUCAUUUCGGACAAUACUUUUCAACCAAAGAAUAUACAGGAGCCUGUCGUUUCAGUUCUAUAGGCAGAGACUGUACACUGGGAUACGGUAUUGCAGCAAUAACAACAGUGUGUACACGAAAUCAAGAGCCACAGUGCGAGUGAGGAAUGGUGCAGAAUCAAAUGACUCACAUACACAAAAUCAAAACGACUUAUUAUGCCUAAAUUUUCCAUGAGUUUUAAUAAAAACAGGGAGGAGAGACACUUUACUCUACCACCGGUUGCAAAUGCAAUUACUCUGUCGGAUCUCGGAAGAGAGCCGUUAGAGUAUAUAUAAUAUAGCUAUAUACCUUUUUGUAUUUAUCCUAAUAUAUAAGGAGUUUCCUUCAUAUAGUUCACCACCUGUACAUUUAUAUAUAUAGGCCUAUGGCCUGUUGCAUAUUUCUAACAUGUUACCAUGUUAAGCUUCAUGCACUAGCCAACGCAAC
rnacentral:lncRNA from 1 species